AGACGGAGGGUGCAAGCGUUAAUCGGAAUUACUGGGCGUAAAGCGCUCGUAGGCGGCUUGUUAAGUCGGAUGUGAAAGCCCUGGGCUCAACCUGGGAACUGCAUUCGAUACUGGCAGGCUAGAGUAUAGUAGAGGCAAGUGGAAUUCCGGGUGUAGCGGUGAAAUGCGUAGAUAUCCGGAGGAACAUCAGUGGCGAAGGCGACUUGCUGGACUAAUACUGACGCUGAGGAGCGAAAGCGUGGGGAGCAAACGGGAUUAGAAACCCCGGUAGUCC
rnacentral:rRNA from 1 species